rnacentral:rRNA from 1 species
GACGAACGCUGGCGGCGUGCCUAAUACAUGCAAGUUGAGCGAUGAAGAUUGGUGCUUGCACCAAUUUGAAGAGCAGCGAACGGGUGAGUAACGCGUGGGGAAUCUGCCUUUGAGCGGGGGACAACAUUUGGAAACGAAUGCUAAUACCGCAUAACAACUUUAAACAUAAGUUUUAAGUUUGAAAGAUGCAAUUGCAUCACUCAAAGAUGAUCCCGCGUUGUAUUAGCUAGUUGGUGAGGUAAAGGCUCACCAAGGCGAUGAUACAUAGCCGACCUGAGAGGGUGAUCGGCCACAGUGGGACUGAGACACGGCCCAAACUCCUACGGGAGGCAGCAGUAGGGAAUCUUCGGCGAUGGACGAAAGUCUGACCGAGCAACGCCGCGUGAGUGAAGAAGGGUUUCGGAUCGUAAAACCCUGUUGGUAGAGAAGAACGUUGGUGAGAGUGGAAAGCUCAUCAAGUGACGGUAACUACCCAGAAAGGGACGGCUAACUACGUG